rnacentral:rRNA from 1 species
UAAUGUCUGGGAAACUGCCUGAUGGAGGGGGGUAACUACUGGAAACGGUAGCUAGUACCGCAUAAUGUCGCAAGACCAAAGUGGGGGACCUUCGGGCCUCAUGCCAUCAGAUGUGCCCAGAUGGGAUUAGCUAGUAGGUGGGGUAACGGCUCACCUAGGCGACGAUCCCUAGCUGGUCUGAGAGGAUGACCAGCCACACUGGAACUGAGACACGGUCCAG